rnacentral:lncRNA from 1 species
AUGGGUAGUGACAGUGAUAUGGGUAGUGACAGUGACAGUGGUAGUGACAGUGACAGUGGUAGUGAUAGUGACAGUGGUAGUGACAACGUACUAGCAUCUUCCCGUUCAAAUGCUACUACAUCUACUACUCAUAUACCAACUACUAUUGCAUCUACUAUUUCUACUGAAGUACCCAGUUUAACAGACUUAACUACAACAAAUGGAGAUGUAACGGACGAAAUAAACGAAGGCGUACAAAACGAAGGCGUACAAAACGAAAGAUAUGUCAUACUUACGGGGAUAAAUGUAAAACAAAACAGUACAAAACUGUUCCAAAACAAAUUGGAUAAAAACAGAUUGGAUAAAAAAAAAUUGAACAAAAAAAUAAUGAAAAAAAAAAAAAUAAACAAAGCAGGAGUGAACAAACAAAGCAUAAUUAAAAACAUUAAAAAACAUUUAAAAAAAAAAUUCAAAAUUUUAGCAAAAAUAAGAAUUUAUCUUUAAACGAAAAUAGUUUAUAUUUUGAAACGUUAAAGUUAAUUAAUCAUAAAUGUGAUAAGUUAAAAACGACAUUUCGUUUGAUUGAAUUUGAAAAUGAAAAUAAAACAAACUGUUUAAAAGAGACA